AAAAAGGGUAUCUGCCGUGAUUGGUACAACAGGAGAAGGGUUAUUCUGAUCUUGUUGCGGAAUCGUUAUCAAGAGAUUUCGGAUGCACAAUUUUUAUAACCUCGGGGCUGCUAAUGACCAUCUAUCUUGGCGCCCCA